rnacentral:rRNA from 1 species
UACGGAGGGUCCAAGCGUUGUUCGGAAUCAUUGGGCGUAAAGCGCGUGUAGGCGGCUUGGCAAGUCAGCUGUGAAAGCCCGGGGCCCAACCCCGGAACUGCAUCUGAAACUGCUUGGCUCGAGUCCCGGAGAGGAAGGCAGAAUUCCCGGUGUAGGGGUGAAAUCCGUAGAUAUCGGGAGGAAUACCAGCGGCGAAGGCGGCCUUCUGGACGGUGACUGACGCUGAGACGCGAAAGCGUGGGGAGCAAACAGG